AAUCAACGCUGGCGGCGUGCCUCAGACAUGCAAGUCGAACGAUUAAAAGCUCUCUUCGGAGAGUGUAUAGAGUGGCGCACGGGUGAGUAACACGUAAGUAAUCUACCCUCGAGUGGGGAAUAACAACCGGAAACGGUUGCUAAUACCGCAUAAUGCAGCGGCACCGCAAGGUGACAGUUGUUAAAGAUUUAUCGCUUGAGGAGGAGCUUGCGGCAGAUUAGCUAGUUGGUAGGGUAACGGCUUACCAAGGCUACGAUCUGUAACCGGUCUAAGAGGACGGUCGGUCACACUGACACUGAAUAACGGGUCAGACUCCUACGGGAGGCAGCAGUCGGGAAUUUUGGGCAAUGGGCGAAAGCCUGACCCAGCAACGCCGCGUGAAGGAUGAAGUAUUUCGGUAUGUAAACUUCGAAAGAAUAGGAAGAAUUAAUGACGGUACUAUUUAUAAGGUCCGGCUAACUACGUG
rnacentral:rRNA from 1 species